CGGAGGGUGCAAGCGUUGUCCGGAUUUAUUGGGUUUAAAGGGUGCGUAGGCGGCCCGUUAAGUCCGGGUGAAGCCACAGCUCAACUGUGGAACUGCCCUGGAUACUGGCGGGCGUUGAGUCCAGACGAGGUUGGCGGAAUGGAAGGUGUAGCGGUGAAAUAGCAUAGAUACCUUCCAGAACCCCGAUUGCGUAGGCAGCUGACUAGGCUGGUACUGACGCUGAGGCACGAAAGCGUGGGGAGCGAACAGGAUU
rnacentral:rRNA from 1 species